GAAAUGCGAUAAGUAAUGUGAAUUGCAGAAUUCAGUGAAUCAUCGAAUCUUUGAACGCAACUUGCGCUCCUUGGUAUUCCUUGGAGCAUGCCUGUUUGAGUAUCAUGAAAUCUUCAAAGUAAAUCUUUUGUUAACUCAAUUGGUUUCUACUUUGGUAUUGGAGGUCUUUGAAGCUUCACACCUGCUCCUCUUUGUUCAUUAGCUGGAUCUCAGUGUUAUGCUUGGUUCCACUCGGCGUGAUAAGUUAUCUAUCGCUGAGGACACUGUAAAAGGUGGCCAAGGUAAAUGCAGAUGAACCGCUUCUAAUAGUCCAUUGACUUGGACAAUACUUUUAUGAUCUGAUCUCAAAUCAGGUAGGACUACCCGCUGAACUUAAGC
rnacentral:misc_RNA from 1 species